GAUGCCCAGUACUGCACUUGGCCUUGGGGACAGAUCAGGGAGACAGGACAGACAACCCCUCCUCUCUCAGACGGGAUCUGGAGCCAGACCGACAGGUCAGCACUCAGAGCCCCCGGCUGCUCUCUGACAGGGCAGAGCAGGGGCCGAGGGCAGAGGCAGCACCUUUCAAUGUGUCUAGAGCCCCAGCUCCAAUGACCCCGGCCACUCAAGUCCUUCAGCCCAGACCACAGAGGAAAGGCCCCCUGACUGUGGGCUGAGAUGAAGAAAGACCCUGUAGCUCUAGCCAGGCUCUAACCGGGGCAGAGCUGAGUCUCCGUUCAGGGCUGGGAGGAGCCCAGAACGGAUCUGGUCCAACAAGCCCAUUUUACAGACAUGCAGACUGAGGUCAGGACCAUGAAGACAGACUCGGCACAUGGUACACGAGCGGGACUGGACGCCAGCUCCCCGUGCCUCUCCGCUACCAUAAAACACCACGCUCUGCUCUGGAUACGUGGGGACAAAUAUCCUGAGCUGCACCCAACACACAGCGAGCAGACGUGCUCUGAUAGCGCAUCACGUGCUCUGAUAACGCAUCAUGUGCUCGUGCACGAAACCAUGACACGCACCGCACCUCCUCGCUCUGGCCUCUCAGGCACCGGGUGCGAAGGGCCACUUUCUAACAGCGAUUCGCUGGCAAGGACGCCCGGCCGGGGCUGUGCCAGAGGCUGCCCGUCUCCCCGGGUCCCGGCCAGGAUUACAAAGCCACGCUAAUCGCUUCGCGGCACUGUGACCCCGUCCACGCAGGCGGGUUCGGCAUUUAGAGAAGCCAGGCCUGUGCCCUUCGUUAGAAUAGGAACAAAGAAACGGCAACUGAAAAACAGCCAUUUCAGCUGCACUUGAGUCUCCAUGGAACCAGGACACCCCCAGCAUGUCUGCCUCAUAGAAACCAUGCAGGUUGAUGCUCAGCCACUGAGCCACACUGGCCAGGCCGUUCAAGAACCGUCACCGUGUCUGCUGGGAGGGCCAGCGUCUGGCGGGGUGAGGUGAGUGCCAGGGCGGACGGCUGGGCCGCGGGACGUGCACACUGCCCCUCGGCUCUGUCCUGUGCUGUCAGUCAGCAGCCUGUCCGUCUGUCCAAACAGUAAGGAAGCUGAUGGUGCCGGACAGACACGUGGUUUGGGCUUGGCAGUGACUCUGGCAUCAGCCACGUGCAGCCACCACGGGCCCAGCCUGACGCAGGUGCAUUUCACUCGCAGGCACAGUGACCACACACCGGCCCCGUCCACAGCCGCCGGGGUCAAGGGGAGUGGACACGCCCGUGGACAGACAGGAGGCUGACGGUGCCACCGGCUCCAGAGGCCCGGCUCCGGGCCUCCCUGUUCCCACCAGGGGAACGGAGCUUCCACGAGGGAAAGGGGGAGCUGUGGGGGGAGCACCCCAAAUGAGCACCAACGGGACACCCUGGCUCCCACCGCAGCCGCGGCCGCACCCCCAACACAUCUGUGCUCUGUCCACUCCGGGAGGGACAUCAAAGGAUUCGGCCAAACGUUCGUCAGGAAACACAUUAAGCGCUGGCCCAACUUGGUUCCACUCGGGAAAACGUGGAUCCCUCCUCAGCAGCCUGGCCCCGCAUCCGGAAAACGCCCUGGCCCUGGCCCUGGCCCUCGGCCCGCCCAGACUCCAGCAUUUGUCAUUCCCGAGCUCUGGUGACCACAUGUCUCCUGGCAGAGGGAGAAGGUCAAGGAGAGGAAAGAGUGACCCGGCGCAGGGUGGCCCCCGGCCGGGCAGGAGCCACAGCAGGAGGGACGGCGAGGCCACACCAACCCGAGGGGCAGGGGCUGGGAUCCCCCUCCAGACAGAGGCACCGAGAAUCGUCUCCAUGUGGCUUCGUUCCAGCCCGAGCCAGAUGCCGAUGACGGGGUGAGGACAUGAGAUGCAGAGCAGCUGAGCGGGCGCCCAGGGCCCGGGCUGAGCCCAGGGAGGAACCCGCCCAUGGCAGCCUUUCUCGUCUCUGCCCAGCAGAGGGGCUGCAGGGGACAGGUCAGAGCGGGAGGGGACAGGUC